rnacentral:rRNA from 1 species
ACUCCUGCGGGAGGCAGCAGUGGGGAAUUUUGGACAAUGGGCGAAAGCCUGAUCCAGCAAUGCCGCGUGUGUGAAGAAGGCCUUCGGGUUGUAAAGCACUUUUGUCCGGAAAGAAAUCCUUGGCUCUAAUACAGUCGGGGGAUGACGGUACCGGAAGAAUAAGCACCGGCUAACUACGUGCCAGCAGCCGCGGUAAUACGUAGGGUGCGAGCGUUAAUCGGAAUUACUGGGCGUAAAGCGUGCGCAGGCGGUUUGCUAAGACCGAUGUGAAAUCCCCGGGCUCAACCUGGGAACUGCAUUGGUGACUGGCAGGCUAGAGUAUGGCAGAGGGGGGUAGAAUUCCACGUGUAGCAGUGAAAUGCGUAGAGAUGUGGAGGAAUACCGAUGGCGAAGGCAGCCCCCUGGGCCAAUACUGACGCUCAUGCACGAAAGCGUGGGGAGCAAACAGGAUUAGAUACCCGGGUAGUCCCAUG